GCAGUCUUGGCCGAGUGGUUAAGGCGACAGACUAGAAUUGGACGAAUUAAAAGUUCGAGGCUAGCGAUCUGUUGGGGUCUCCCCGCAUAGGUUCGAAUCCUGUAGACUGCG
rnacentral:tRNA from 1 species